rnacentral:rRNA from 1 species
UACAGAGGGUGCAAGCGUUAAUCGGAUUUACUGGGCGUAAAGGGCGCGUAGGUUGUUGUAUAAGUGAGAUGUGAAAUCCCCGGGCUCAACCUGGGAACUGCAUUUGUGACUGUAGAGCUGGAGUACGGCAGAGGGGGAUGGAAUUCCGCGUGUAGCAGUGAAAUGCGUAGAUAUGCGGAGGAACACCGAUGGCGAAGGCAAUCCCCUGGGCCUGUACUGACGCUCAUGCACGAAAGCGUGGGGAGCAAACAGG